rnacentral:rRNA from 1 species
AAAACUACNUAAAAGUAAGUCUCAGUUCGGAUUGAAGGCUGAAAUUCGCCUACAUGAAGCCGGAAUUGCUAGUAAUGGCAGGCCAGCAUACUGCCGUGAAUACGUUCCCGGGCCUUGUACACACCGCCCGUCACACCAUGAGAGUUGGGAAUACCCGAAGCCUGUGAGCUAACUUUUAGAGGCAGCAGUCGAAGGUAGAAUCAAUGAUUGGGGUGAAGUCGUAACAAGGUAGC